CUUAAGGGUCGGUCCAGAAUUGAGAUCUAAGCAGAAACAAACUUUUUGCAGAUCUAGGAGCUAUAGUGAAGUAGUACAAGAGCGGUGGCGAAGUCGACGAAGAUCAUCGGAAAGUGUUUUGAAAUCGCAUGACAAAAGUCGAUGGCCUCUAAAAUAUAUACUGGUUCUUAUUGUUCAUUAGCCUGCAGUUUACUGAGCUCGUUGAGCAUUACAAAGCCAGGAGUUUAAGUUAUCAGA